AGCACGUCUUGGCAGAGAUGAGAGACACUGCUCGCUUCCAUAGCCACCCUUAAAAUUUAUUUUAAACAGUACUUGUGCACGUGGAGUUUAAGUUGUAUAUGGGCACUCAUGAUCAGCACUUGUCAAACUGAGGGGUGGUACAGAAACAGACAUUUGUGAUUAUUUGCACUGGGUCCUCUAGCAGGACACUCUCCUCAAAGCAAAAUGUAAAGAGAAUAUUGGAU
rnacentral:lncRNA from 1 species